rnacentral:rRNA from 1 species
AGAGUUUGAUCAUGGCUCAGAACGAACGCUGGCGGCGUGCCUAACACAUGCAAGUCGCGCGAGAAAAGGGGGGCAACCCCCUGAGUAAAGCGGCGCACGGGUGAGUAACACGUAGGUAACCUACCCUUGAGUCUAGAAUAACCUACCGAAAGGUGGGCUAAUGCCGGAUAUGACCACGGGGACUUCGGUCUCUGCGGUGAAAGGUGGCCUCUGCUUGCAAGCUACCGCUCGAAGAUGGGCCUGCGCGCCAUUAGCUAGUUGGUGAGGUAACGGCUCACCAAGGCGAUGAUGGCUAGCUGGUCUGAGAGGAUGGCCAGCCACACUGGGACUGAAACACGGCCCAGACUCCUACGGGAGGCAGCAGUGGGGGAUAUUGCGCAAUGGGCGAAAGCCUGACGCAGCGACGCCGCGUGGGUGAUGAAGGCCUUCGGGUCGUAAAGCCCUGUCGAGGGGAAAGAAACGGCUCCGACCCAAUACGUCGGGGCCCUGACGGUACCCCUAAAGGAAGCACCGGCUAACUCCGUGCCAGCAGCCGCGGUAAUACGGAGGGUGCGAGCGUUGUUCGGAAUCACUGGGCGUAAAGGGCGUGUAGGCGGUUCGCUAAGUCUGAUGUGAAAGCCCGGGGCUCACCCCCGGAAGUGCAUUGGAAACUGGCGGACUCGAGUCCCGGAGAGGAGGGUGGAAUUCCUGGUGUAGCGGUGAAAUGCGUAGAUAUCAGGAGGAACACCGGUGGCGAAGGCGGCCCUCUGGACGGUGACUGACGCUAAGACGCGAAAGCGUGGGGAGCAAACAGGAUUAGAUACCCUAGUAGUCC